rnacentral:snRNA from 1 species
UUGCUUUGGCAGCACAUAUACUAAAUUGGAAUGAUACAGAGAAGAUUAGCAUUGCCUCUGCGCAAGGAUGACACACAAAUUCAUGAAGCAUUCUAUAUUUUU